UGUUCUGUGGCUUAGUUGGUUAAAGCGCCGGUCUAGCGAAUACGGAGUCGUGGGUUCAAAUCCCCCCAGAACGC
rfam:Aedes albopictus isolate Foshan contig3907, whole genome shotgun sequence.